GGCAGGCCGAGCUUCAUCUCGAUAUUCCAGGCAACACGCAGGCAGCGCAGGAACAUGGGUCAUGCCCCACUCCCCAGUCAGACCUGAUGAUGGUGUAUCCAGAUCCAGUCAUGUCAAAUAGCUUUGCACCUCCACCCUAUAAUGAGGUUGUCAGUCACCCAAGCAUGUUUCCACCAAGUACCAAGACUUCCUAUCCCAGCAACGCACACAAUUACCUGCAAGGUCCUACAUCUUUUAGUGAAUCUUCUGUGCAGAUGCCCUC